UCCAGUCCACCACCACCAGGCGCGCCUCCACCCUCCACUUCUCCACGCCGCCACUGUCCAGGGCCGCGCGUCGAGCCUCCCCGUCGUCCGCGCCGGCGCUGCGCCAUCCCAGCCGUCCACUCUGUCCCCGCUUUCCUCGCCGGCGCCGCUCCGUCCCAGCGGUCCGCGCCGUCGUCCGCGCUGGAGCCAUCGACGCCCAUGGGCGGUGGGUCCGUCUUCCGCGUCGGCGCCGCUCCAAGCCGCCAAGCGGGGGCCGGCGACGAAGCGACGCUGCGACGGCAACUCCUCCUGUCCUCCAUACUCCAGUCCUCCUCGCCUCCUCGGGUCACCGCUUCGCCGGACUCUGGCCGCCGGUUGCGGGUUGCCGGCUUGGUGGCUUGGCGCGGCUUGCCGCAGCGCCGCCGCUCGCCUCCUGCUUAAUUGGCUGCUCCACGUCUCCACUGAUCCGGCGCUCCACCAUUUAGCUCAGGAUUGGUAAAACAUGAAGAGGAACGGAGAUCAAGGAAUCGGCUCGGAUAUCCACUUGUUCAGUUUAGUCGUCCACUACCGAUUUUGCUGCAAUCAACCUAGAUAUCAUCCAAGGUGUACGUUGCUUUGCUGAGCAUCUACCGAACAGAGGUCCCGAACAACAAAUGUACAACAGUUAGUUUCCUCCCGCUUGCCAUGAGUACUAUGCUAAAAUGCUGAAAUGUUAUAUCCUCAUGUUAUAUUUGUCUUGCGCAAUGUUUUUUUAUCUUUUCCCCAUGGGUACACUGGUGAGUACUUGUACUUCACGCAUAGAAAACACCACUCAAACACAAACUAAUUUAAGUGGCCUCUAAAAUUUGAUUGUCAAUACCAGCUAUGGAUAGGUGAUGGAUGUACCUUCCUAGGCACAAUUUAACCGGACAAUGAAAUUGAACAUGUAGACCAAUGUCCUGAUUUAGGUGGUGGCACAGACAUUACUAUUGAUCCAGCAUAUGUUUCUCCUGCUAGAUCAGGUAUAGAUGGAAUAGUAGUUGUUAAUGCAAAUGAAAAGAUAGCCAUUUCACCCUCUUCUCAGACGCAAUCUUUUAUUUUUCUGUUUUUUUUUUACAGAAUUGCUAGGUUUUUGUUAGAACUGCUAUUAGAAAAAUUGAGUCACUUGGUGAGGAAGUGGAAAAGUUGACUGAAUUACUUGCUAAUUCUCGAGAUGGACGACAAUGUCAAUCCCUAAGUCAUGUCAAAUUCUGCAACAACUUAAAUGAGGCAAAUAAUGCGAUGUAUACAGUUCUAUUCUAAAUGAUCAGUGCUUGUUUCCGUUUCAUUACUUUUGGCCAACAAUUUGUAUUGGUUGAACAGGAGAGUGCAAAUGGCUAGCUUUUUGUUAGAGCUACUGAUGCUAUCCUGGACAUGAAGAGUUGCAUGUUGAAGGUGGUCGCUUGUUGGUUGAAUUAUUUAAUGUACAGAAGUACAGAUCGGUGGACCAUCGUCAUACAAGAGUCUUGGAAACUUUUGCUAAUUAAAUAGACUUCUUUUGUAUGAAUGCAAAGACAAUGUACUCGUAUAUAUGUACACUGAUGCAAGUGUUUGCCCACUCUGCUGUGCUGGAUAUAACUACUUUUGAUCUUGUGGAAUCUUAAAGUCAGUAUGUUUUUUUCAUGCAA